rnacentral:rRNA from 1 species
UGUAAAAUUUUAAAGGUCGAACAGACCUAAAAUUCCAGCUUCUGCACCAAAAUUUAAUUUUAAUCCAACAUCGAGGUCGCAAACUUUUUUAUCGAUAAGAACUCUCCAAAAAAAAUUACGCUGUUAUCCCUAAGGUAAUUUAAUCUUAUAAUCCAAAUAAUAGGAUCAAAUAUUCAUAAAUAAAUGUUACAAACAAAAAAAAGUUUAUUAAAUUUUUCCAUCGCCCCAACGAAAUAUCUAAUUAAAAAUAAAAGAAUAAAUCCAAUAACCAAUAAAUCCAAUUAAAUAUAAAACUCUAUAGGGUCUUCUCGUCUUUAUAAAAAAUUUAAGCUUUUUCACUUAAAAAUGAAGUUCUAAUUCAUUUAUACAGAGACAGUUAUUUUCUCAUCAAACCUUUCAUUCCAGCUUUCAAUUAAAAAACUAAUGAUUAUGCUACCUUUGCACAGUCAAAAUACUGCGGCCAUUUAAAAAUCAUUGGGCAGGUCAGACUUUAAAUCAAAAUCAAAAAGAC